AUGUAAACAUUGGGUUGACGUACAUAAUGAAGUCUUUUUAACUGAAACAGAAAAUACAGUACAUAACUAGCAAACGUUAUUCUAAAUUUUCAUGACAAAAGUUUCAUUUUUUCUACUUGAAUAAAUAUUUAUUAAAAAUGGAUUAUCCCGCUAGUCAGCAUAUGACUAAAGAUCAUGAUGAUUUUUCUGACAAAAAAUUUCGACAAACUCUUAAUAUAACUAUUAUCAAUAAUUUUUUGGAUUUAAAAGCUUCUACUUCAGCUUCAAAUCAUGCUACUUUAUCUGCUUUUUUUCAUCACAUGAGAAAUUCUUUCAAAGAAAUUCCUCACAUCUUUGUUGCAUCACCAAUUCAUCAUGAUGCAGAUGAAAGUAGACAAGAAAAAGGUGAUGUUUGUUUAUCUACAGCUUUUACUGAAUGGUUAAUGAUGUGGUUACUUCAUGUUCUGAAUGAUCCAUCUGCGGAUUCAGUGCAUAAAGAAUGCAGAGACCUAUUUUUUUACCUCUUGCAGUUAAUUAAAUUUAAUAAUACCUUUAAUUUCCGGCACUCUGUUAUGCGUCUCAUCAAUUUGCUCGCAGAACUAAAUGAUAUGUUUGACAGAUUUGUGGAUGGAAAUACUGAAACUUCCAUUAUUGAAAAUUACUUUUAUUCUGAUGAAAAACUUAAAUCUGAGUGUGCUCAAGAACUAGAUCUCGUAACUAUUUCAGUCUCUUUUUCUACUCCAUAUGAAUGUGAAGCCUUGCAGGAAAAAGUAACUUCUCUUUUAGAAAUGUUGACCAUAGAUAUUACCCAGUUUCUACCAGAUCAGUGCAAUAACUUAUGCAAAAUAUUUUGCAUUCAGAUAGAGUUAGGAGAUUUAAAUCUGAAAAAGGAAUCUGUGAGAGGAAUUGCAUCUUUAGUAAGAGAGCAUGGUCUCAUGUUUUCAAUAAGCAAUAUUGAUUAUCUCUUCAGCUGUAUUCAGGCUAUUACACUGUUUUGCAGUUCAUUUGAGGAACCUAUUUCUGAGGUAUUUAGAUCAUUACAAGAUGCCAUAGGUGUAUUCUUGAGGAUAGUGAUUGAGAAGGUAGAUAAACCUGAAAGCAAGUUUAUGUUAACUACUUCAACUCUUGGUAAAAUGCUUCAAGUUUUAUCUGAGGCUGUGACUAAAUCCUAUUUUUUGGAUUCCACUCAGUGUUUUCAAUCUUCUGUUGUGACUGGAAUAAUUUUCUUUUUGCAACAUGGGAAGGAGAAUGGUUAUUUAUUUCCCAUAGUUUUACAGCAACAGUUAUCAGAAUUUGUUGUUACUUCUCUCAGCGCAAGGGCAUCAAAGUUUUUGUUACAUUUGGCUGUUCAUUUAAUCAAAACAGAAGGAGAAAGUUGUUAUUUUGGAACAAAUCAAAACAAGGAGAAAUUUGGAGGUGGACAAGAAAAACUGAUUCCUUUUGAAAAUAUGAGAGAGAUCUCUAAUACUUGGUUGCAAUUUUAUAAGCAUCUUAUUUAUAUACUGAAUGCUGAAACUUCUAGCAAAGCAAUUGAUGUAGACGUGGUUUGUUGCUGUGCAGAAAUUCUUCUCCGUAGUUACUCUGAACUUCAUCAUAUUGAAAAAUUUGAGUUUCAAGAAUUUACUCUUUCUGGUUCCCAAUCACAUAUUGCAAGAAGACGUUUUCCUCCCCUGAUUAUUGAUUCAUUCAACGCUCAUGCCAAAUAUCUUUUAGUAAAUAAUUUUUCAUCCACUUAUGAAAAAAUAAUUAAAUUUUACAAGCAAGUUCUUCUUCUACAAGAUUUAUUGCAUUUAACUGAUGAGCAUUAUGACAUCAUAUGCAAUGUUUUAUCCAUUCCUUGGAUUUUAGAAGAAGAAGAUGUUCAAGAUUUAUCAGAUCAGUUUUUAUCUCUACACAUCAUUAAGAAACUGGAUAUUACGAUACAUAAUUCUGUUGCUGCCCAUUGUUUACAAAGUCUGGUGUUGAUACCUUCAAGAAUUUCUCUAAGUUGGAGAAGUCAUAUUCUUUCCAUGUGUUUGUCUUGCAACACGGACUUGGCACUGACAGCGGUUAAAAUGCUCCCAAUCUUUUUGUAUUCAUCUCUUAAUCCUCUAAAAUUCUUAUUUGAAUUAAAUCCUUGUUUGCUACAGUUAAAUAAUAUUGAUGUUCUAAGAGAACUAUGUAAAUAUUUUGGAACUGUUUGUUGCAUUUGUUCUGGCUGCUGUUCCUUGUACAGACAACUAGAAUGUGAUUAUGAUUCAGAUGUGGUGCUGCCAGUUAAAUGUGCAGUUUGUGAUAAAUUACAAGACUCUAGUGAUAAAAGUAAACCAUUGCCAUCUCCAUUUGUUGAAAGUCUUGCAGAUUUAAUGAUCCACAUUCUUAGUCAUCCAUCUGAGCUUAUACGCAGAGAAUCUAUGCAAGCAGUUUUACGUUUUUUUACACAUUUUGAAGUGAAGGAAAAUGUAUUAUCUGCUACAAUGCAUUUUUUGGUUGAUGUAAAUCCAGUUGUUAGAACAAAAUUUAGUGAGGUAGUUGGUUUGGCUUUAAAACCACUUUUUAGCUUUCAAAGGGAUCAUAAAUGGAGGCAGAGAAUCGAUGAAUUGCUUAUGAUGAAACUGCAAGCUGCACUUCUUGCUUCAAAGCAAAGUGGAAAUGUUCAUUUUCAAAAGUCUAUAAUUUAUAGUAUUGGUGAGAUUGGAAAAAUUUCUGAUGGUGGUUUGCUUCUCAUCAAUAUCAUCAGUCUUUUAGAAAAUUAUAUGACAUCCAUCCCAUCAGUGAAAGUUGUUGCAUUUUCUAAAUUGAAACAGAUUGCAGAAUCUAAACAAUUAAAGAUGCAAGAUUUAUUAAAAGCAUACAAAGGUGCUAUAUGUAAAUUCCUUGCUGAAUUCUUGUUUGCAAGAAAUCCAGAUGAUGCUAACCAAAUUUUAUUUAUUCUUGAAGAAAUUAGAACUGUGUUUGGAUACAAUGACUUGAAAUCUUUCAUACAUCAAAAUCAACAUAGUAUUCUACCCUACCUCAUUGCAAGAGAGACACAAUGCUCUUCUGUAUUCAUAGAAACUCUGGCAACUGUGUUGCAUAUAGAUAAAAGAGAAAUUCUUAUUAAUAACUUUCCUUAUAUUUUCUCACAUUUUGUUUGUCAUUGUGAUAAAUCAGACCUGGAAAAGGCUCUUAUAUUUAUUCAGAGAGAAACAGAUUUAGAGCUCGGAAGUCUUCUGCGUUGUAAUUAUCAGCCUGUUCAUAAUGAACUGCUUCUACAUUUAAGUACCCACUAUCAACAAGUUUUUAGUGGCUUGGCUAUUCUUGCUCUCAAGAGUGGAAACCUGGAAGGAAACAAUUCAAUCAUAACACACUCUGAAGAAAUGGCCAGUUAUCUGCAACCAAAAUUAUUGGGAUUCCUAGUAUUUUUCGAUGCUCAAAUGUUGAAGAGCUCUUUAGACGACAAAAAAUUGGCACUGGAAAGUCUUAUUGCAAUUAUGAAAAUAAUGGGAUCCCGUGCAAUUACUGCUGUACGUUUUAAACUUAUGGCAACUUUGAGGCUUACUUUACGAUUUAAAGAUGGAGAUUUCCCAAAAAUAUGUUGCAAAGCAUGGAAUACAUUUGUAAGCAGCAUUGAAAUAACAUCUUUGGGACCUCUUUUAAAUCAAAUCAUUGUGGCACUUUUACCUUUAUUGGAAAUUGAACCUGUAGCUGUUUCUGAAAUUUUCCAUUAUCUGAUAAUUGAAAAAAGGGCAUAUCUCAGUGAAUUCUUCCAUGAUUUAUAUUUUGUCCCUGACACCCCUGAACUUCAGCAGAUUAAUGUUGUUUUAAAAGAUUAUAGUGAAAGUCCUGACAGUCUGACAGAUUUUUGCUCUUUGUUGUGUCAUUCACUGAAGGGCAUUAGUCAUGAGAAUUUAGAAGUGAGACUGCAUGCUUUAGAAAAGUUAAAGCAGGUUCUUCAUUCAAAUCAGAAAGCUAUCCAUGAUCAUUUGCAUGGAAGAGAAAGUGUAGAUAAUUUAUUAUCACACCUUGUAGCUGCGUUAAUUGGUAGCUGCCGAGAAUCAGAUGUGAGGGUAAGAACAGCCUUAGGGCAUUGUUUAGGUGAACUAGGUGCAAUUGAUCCUGGAAGGCUUGAUAUGAAAAGUGCCCGAUCAAGAGAAACAUUAGCUAACUUUUAUAGCAGUAUUGAUGAGGAAGAUUUUGCUUAUGCAUUGAUACAGGAAUUAGUACAUUCUUUUCUUGCUGCUGAACAAAGUGGAAUUCAGGAUUGCUCUGCAUGUGCUAUUCAAGAAGUAUUGAGAUUUUAUAAAUGUUCAAAUGAAUCUGGGUCAAGUGGAAAUCAUUUGUGGAAACGGUUUCCUCCUGAUAUACAGGAAAUUCUUAUUGUUUUAUUUCAUUCGCAAUAUAAACCAUUGCAAAAAUCCAGAAGGAAAUUUCCUGUUCCAAUUUAUCAAAGCAAAAUGGGUGGCACAUUCAGAGAUUGGACAAAAAAUUGGUUUUAUAGCCUGCUGCAAAAGGUUAAGAAGGAGAACCCUUUUAAACUGUUUCAUGCCUGCUCUGUCAUUAUAAAAUAUGAUCUUAAUUGUACUUUGUUCUUACUUCCUCAUCUUGUUGUAUAUGCUCUUUUAGACUGUACAGAAAUUGAAAAAAAUGAAAUAUGCGCAGAAAUAUUAACAGUCCUAAGGCAUAGUGAGCAAUUGUCUGUCAUGAAUGAUUUGUGUCAGUUAAGUUCUCAAAUUGUAUUCUCAGUUGUUGAUCAUUUAACCAAAUGGAUUCAUCAUUAUCAAAAUGAAAUAUCAUCAAAAACCAGUGGACGUUCACUUGGCCCAAGGUUGUCUCAAGAUAAAAAUUUCCAAUCAGUUAAUGCCUGUUUGACAAACAUUCCCCAAAUUCUUUUGGCAAAAUCUGCUUUUGCUUGUCAAGCAUAUGCACGAGCCUUGUUGCAUUUAGAAAAAUAUUUAAAGGAAUUUCCUGACCAGCUAGAAAAUCAUAUUGGCUUCAUUCAGAAAAUUUAUGCAUCAUUAGAUGAUGCUGAUGGUGUUGCUGGAGUAGCUGCUAUAAGAAAAGAAGAACCCACUUUAAAAGAUCUUAUUUUAGAAAAUGAAGCUAACGGGGAUAUGCAAGCUGCCUUUGCUUGUUAUGAGAAAGCUAUCAAGCUCUAUCCUGAUGAAGUUAGCUAUUAUGGAGGGCUUCUGAAAUGUUUUCUAGCUAUGGAUCAACCUACUACUGCUGUUUCUUAUGCUAAUGGAAUACUUACUGAGAGGCCUGAUUGGAAAGACAAUUUGAAUCCAUUUAGAAUUGAAGCUGCUUGGCAAUUAUCAAACUGGGAAAGUCUUGAAUCUUAUCUGGAAGAAGAGGAAAAUAAAGAAGACUGGACUGUAGGUGUUGGAAACAUUCUGUAUUUGGCAAAUAAAAAGGAUGUGGCAAACUUUGAAAAAUAUGUUAACAUUAUCCGUAGCCGUCAAAUGGCUCCUCUGUCAGCUGCUUCUAUGGAGAGAGGAGCUUACUUAAGAGGCUAUGAAUAUCUAAUAAGAAUGCACAUGCUUACAGAUUUGCAAGAAGCUGUGCAAUCGAUAUUCAACUUAAAUUUAUCUGACAGAAGUCCUUCCAAAACUGUGUCUCUUUUCAAUGAAAUACUUCCUACCUUAUCACUAAGAAGAAAUCUUCUUCAGUCAUCAUCAAGAUAUCAAGAACCUAUUCAUAAUCUUCACAGAGUUCUUUUAAAAAUUGGAAAGGAAAAGAUGCCUGAAUUUUCGUCUAAGUUUGAUCAAGAAAUUACAAAAUGUUGGUUGCAGAGUGCUAGACUUGCCAGAAAGAAUGGUUUCUAUCAGCGAGCUUAUAGUUGUUUGUUGGAAGCUGGAAUUAAGAAUUCUGCAGAUUUCUUCAUGGAAAAAACAAAAUGGCUUUGGAAUAAAGGUGAGAAAGAACAAGCCAUAUAUUGUCUCCAAAAGGGAAUCAGUGAACAUUUUCCAUCAAUGCAGACUAAAAAAGCUUCAUCGUUAAAUUUAUCCAUAGAUGAUCAACUAAUAUGUGCUAAAGCUAAAUUAUUACUAGCAAUUUAUAGUGAAGAAUCAUCUAUUGUUGAUAGUGGCAGCUUGAUUGAAAUGUAUAAAGAAGUAGUAAACUUACAACCUGAUUGGGAAGCAAGCCAUUUCCAUUUGGCUAAAUAUUACGAUAAAAUGCUUAAUACUACAGAAAAUCCUGAUGCUAAAGCAGAAAUAAUGAUUAAAGUUGUGAGGAAUUUUGGGACUUCAUUAAAACAUGGCUGCAAAAAUGUUUACCACUCUUUGCCUAGGCUUUUAGACAUUUGGUUUGAUUUAGGAAGUCUUCAAGGAGUUGAUGACAAUAGCAGUUCAAGUAAAAAGUUAGCUAGUUCUUGGAAAUCAACUGCAGCAUCUUUGGAAAGAAUUAGCAAUAUGGUUCAAGAGUUAUAUGGGAGUGUCCCUCUUUAUUUAUUUUUGACUGCAUUUCCACAGUUAGUUUCUAGAAUUUGCCAUUCUCACCCUAGUGUAUCUGGACCACUUCAGAAAUUGAUCUCUCGGUUGUUAGUUUCAUAUCCUCAACAGUCAAUGUGGAUGAUGAUGGCUGUGUCAAAAUCAUCUUAUCCAACUAGAAGCAAGAGAUGCAAACAAAUUUUUCAAGAGGCUAUUCUGUUAAAUCCCAGUCUUGGCAAAUAUAUUAAUGACACAACACGUUUGGCUGACAAAUUAAUAGAUUUAAGCAAUAAAAAUGUUGGGGAAACUAACAAAUUAAGCAUUAGUGAAAACUUCUCUAGUCUUUCAAAAUUGAUUGAUGAUAGAAAUUUCAGUCAAAUUAUGUUGCCAUUACAAACUCAAAUGAUUGUAACUCUUCCCAAUGGCUAUGUAUCCACUUUUGAUUAUAAUGCUUUUCCUUUUACCCCAGUAUUCAUACAAGGAUUUGAAGACACUGUCGAAGUUUUUCCCUCCUUGCAGAAACCCAAAAAACUCAUUGUAAAAGGUAGUGAUGGAAAGUUAUAUCCAAUUAUGUGUAAACCAAAGGAUGAUUUAAGGAAAGAUUGCAGAUUGAUGGAAUUUAAUAAUCUUGUGAACAGAUAUCUGAAAAUAGAUCCAGAAGCCCGAAGGCGUCAAUUGUACAUCAGAACUUAUGCUGUAGUACCUCUGAAUGAAGAAUGUGGCCUAAUCGAGUGGGUUCCUAAUCUUCAUGGCUUACGUCAGAUAUUAUCUAAAUUAUACAGAUUAAAAGGAUUAUUUGUAACUGGGCGUGAAAUUAGAGCUAUGAUGCCUUCUAAAACAGCUACAUUUGAAGAGAAACUUAAUAUAUUUAAAAAUAAAUUCCUGCCAAGGUUCCCACCAGUUUUCCAUGAAUGGUUUAAAAUAAUAUUCCCUGAUCCUACAGCCUGGUAUCAUGCUCGUUUGGCAUAUGCUCGUACUACAGCAGUCAUGAGUAUGGUUGGAUAUAUAGUUGGUCUUGGAGACAGACAUGGGGAAAAUAUUUUGUUUGAUUCCAGCUGUGGAGAUAGCGUGCAUGUCGACUUGAAUUGCCUAUUUAAUAAGGGUGAAACUAUGGAAUAUCCAGAAUGUGUACCAUUCCGUCUAACACACAAUAUGGUUGAUGCUAUGGGACCAACAGGAUAUGAAGGUGCUUUCAGAAAAGCUUGUGAAGUAACUAUGAGAGUAAUGCGUAGCAGAACUGAUGCUCUCAUGAGUGUUUUGAGACCAUUUGUGCAUGAUCCUUUAGUGGAAUGGAGUAGAUCUAAGAAUUCCAAAGCUCAACAUGAUGGUGAAAUAAUAAAUGAGCAGCAACAUACAACAGCAACAGUGCAACACAAAACCUGGCAACUGAAGUCAAUCUAUUUGAUGCUCAACAUUCUGGAAAAUGAAACAGGAAUAAUCUCACUAUCAUAAGGGUUUGACACAUGUUAAAGAUAUCGAGUUGAGGCUGAAUGGAAUCAUUAAGUAUAAAAACAAACGGCAGGGAUUACCACUAUCUAUUGAAGGUCAAGUCAAUCAUCUCAUACAGGAAGCUGUAGAUA